rnacentral:rRNA from 1 species
GAUGAACGCUGGCGGCGUGCCUAAUACAUGCAAGUCGAGCGAACGGACGAGAAGCUUGCUUCUCUGAUGUUAGCGGCGGACGGGUGAGUAACACGUGGAUAACCUACCUAUAAGACUGGGAUAACUUCGGGAAACCGGAGCUAAUACCGGAUAAUAUUUUGAACCGCAUGGUUCAAAAGUGAAAGACGGUCUUGCUGUCACUUAUAGAUGGAUCCGCGCUGCAUUAGCUAGUUGGUAAGGUAACGGCUUACCAAGGCAACGAUGCAUAGCCGACCUGAGAGGGUGAACGGCCACACUGGAACUGAGACACGGUCCAGACUCCUACGGGAGGCAGCAGUAGGGAAUCUUACGCAAUGGGCGAAAGCCUGACGGAGCAACGCCGCGUGAGUGAUGAAGGUCUUCGGAUCGUAAAACUCUGUUAUUAGGGAAGAACAUAUGUGUAAGUAACUGUGCACAUCUUGACGGUACCUAAUCAGAAAGCCACGGCUAACUACGUG